CUGGGGCUGCCGGACGGGGCGCCCGCCGAGGAUGUGCACCGGAGCUACCGGGAACUGGUGAAGCUGUGGCACCCCGACCGCAACCGGCACCGCGUGCAGGAGGCUGAGCGGCGCUUCAUCGAGGUGCAAGAUGCCUACGAGGUCCUCACACGGGCCCGGAGGACCCGGCCGGGGUGAUGGGCUGCCGGCUCCCCUCGCCCCUGUGCAGGGGGGGAGCAGGGGGCAGCCCCCAGGACACCUGGGUUCUGUGGAUCCAGCCACUUCCUCUCUCUGAGACUGGGAGACUUGGGGUCCGGCUGGCACGUGUUCUGGUGGGAGCCUCAUCUGGGUCCACGUCCUCCUCAAGCAGCUGGUUGCAGCAGCCUGGAGGUUAACGGACACCCAUGGGUCCACUCCGGGUUCAAAUGGCGUGUGCGUGCCCUGGGCGUCCCUGUCUGCAGCGCUCUGCACAUGUGUGUGCACAGGUGUGCAAAUACAUUGUCACCCAUGCACGCGCACACACGUGUCCAUAUACAUGCAUUCUCACAAAUAUACACAAGUGUGUGCACACAUGAGAAUGCAUGCAUACAUGUGCACACAUGUGUGUGCGUGUGUGUACUCGCAGGUGAGUGCAUGUGCACGCUAUCUUCCUGCCCUCCCUGCUUGUUUGGCGUUACUUCGGCAGGCCGGGAACAGGUUCCAGCCCCAGCUGCAACGCGGGGCCUGGGGGCGCUGGGCCUGGGAACCUGGCCGUCAUGUAGAUCCAGAGCAAUAAAGCCCUUUGGGCCAUGAGACUCA